GAAGAGCACUCCUACGGGAGGCAGCAGUGGGGAAUAUUGCACAAUGGGCGCAAGCCUGAUGCAGCCAUGCCGCGUGUAUGAAGAAGGCCUUCGGGUUGUAAAGUACUUUCAGCAGUGAGGAAGGUGGGUAUGUUAAUAGCAUACUCAUUUGACGUUAGCUGCAGAAGAAGCACCGGCUAACUCCGUGCCAGCAGCCGCGGUAAUACGGAGGGUGCGAGCGUUAAAUCGGAAUUUACUGGGCGUAAAGCGCAUGCAGGUGGUUUGUUAAGUCAGAUGUGAAAGCCCGGGGCUCAACCUCGGAAUUGCAUUUGAAACUGGCAAACUAGAGUACUGUAGAGGGGGUAGAAUUUCAGGUGUAGCGGUGAAAUGCGUAGAGAUCUGAAGGAAUACCGGUGGCGAAGGCGGCCCCCUGGACAGAUACUGACACUCAGAUGCGAAAGCGUGGGGAGCAAACAGGAUUAGAUACCCUGGUAG
rnacentral:rRNA from 1 species